rnacentral:rRNA from 1 species
UGGGGAAUCUUGCACAAUGGGGGCAACCCUGAUGCAGCGACGCCGCGUGAGCGAUGAAGCCCUUCGGGGCGUAAAGCUCUUUUAGUCGGAAAGAAAGAGUUGCAAUGAAUAAUUGUGAUUUAUGACGGUACCGACAGAAAAAGCACCGGCUAACUACGUGCCAGCAGCCGCGGUAAUACGUAGGGUGCGAGCGUUAAUCGGAAUUACUGGGCGUAAAGCGUGCGUAGGUGGUUGUUUAAGUCUGAUGUGAAAGCCCUGGGCUCAACCUGGGAAUGGCAUUGGAAACUGGGCAGCUAGAGUGCGGUAGAGGGUAGUGGAAUUCCCGGUGUAGCAGUGAAAUGCGUAGAGAUCGGGAGGAACAUCUGUGGCGAAGGCGACUGCCUGGACCAGCACUGACACUGAGGCACGAAAGCGUGGGGAGCAAACA